rnacentral:lncRNA from 1 species
CUGAAACGACGAUCUUGGUCUAAGCUUACUACCAACCUCGGCUUUGAAUACAGAUAUGUACAUCACCAUUCCCACCAGCAUUAACAAACCUGAAAGAGAAACUGAUUUAAUAACUUGAAACGUUAUCUCUUGCGCCACCAAUUCUCUUGUGACAAUUUCACAAAGUAUGGAUCUCUCAUCGUAACGCGAUUAUUUUGAUGAUGACUUUGAUCUUUGAUUUCUUCGCGCAAGUUCAAAGAGUGGAUGGACAUGAAAUACUUAAUUCUAUUCAGUUGAGAAGAAAUGGCAGAGCGAGCAAAGUAUCCUGGUGCAAUAUAAGCUCGGUGUACUUUAUUACUCACCGGAAACUAUGAAGACCACGCCAGCGACAAAGACGCAAAGUCUGUGUCUCGGGUGAGUAACGUGAGCUGUGAAGUAACAAACUUCGGCUACCACCAGCAGCGAUGUUGCAGCGAAGAAGAACAUUGCCGACUUGAAGAAGAAGAAGAAGAAGAAGAAGAAAAAAAGAAGAGAAGAGAAAUUAGAAAGAGGAAAAGGCACGAGGAACUUAAUUAUCUCUUGGAUCGUCUAACUACGUGAAAAUAGAAAGAUUCAAAGGGGAGGAUUCGCGCAAGAGGAGAAGUUGGACGAAUUCAAAGUCAAAGGAGGAAGCGGCGCAUGAAUGUAAUUUAUAUGCCAUGGGCUGGUAAAUCAUCCCUCCUCUUCUCCUUCCCCACUCCAAGCAUAUUUUUCGCCCUCCACCGCUUCCACCCCCGAGAUUUAAUUGAAACGAAGGUGGUAAAGAAUGGUGACCCGUGACCUGUGAACGACCGAGUUCGAGCACGAUUCGGUGUUAUUAGACCACCGUUCGUCAUAAUCCUUCUCUUUUAUACGAUAUGAUUUAUAAGAGUGAGAUCGAUACUACACCUCUUUCUCUACCUUCUCCUACUCUUUGACGAAACGAGAUCUUCCAUCUUCUUGCAAAACGCGAGACAUGUGUUUCCGUUUUUAAUAUCGCAAUAUAAUUGGAAAGAUGUGAAAUCGAGGAACGUUUUUCUUUUUAUUUUUUGGAAACGAAAUAUUCGGAAUUUUUCAAAUCGAAUUUCGAUGAUAAUUUUUUAUGUGGAAAAAUUUGUUCGAAACACAAUUUUUUAUUAUCGUUUCAUUCGACUUUCGCGAAAGAUUUCCUCGUUAAAUGUUUAUUUUCAAAAUUCGAAAGCUUUUUCGCGUACUCUCUGUUUAAAUUUGAUUUUUAGAUUUGUUGGCGGAUUUUAAAACGAACGGAUCGAUAGGUUUUUAAACUAUUUUCCCUUGGGAGAUUAAGGGAAUCGAAUUUGUUGUUGUUAAAUUUUUGCGGCCAGUGUGUAAUUCCAUUAACAAUUUUCUAGAUUUCGAAGGUUUUAAAAAUAUCGAUUGGAUAAAGGUCUUUGAAAUAUAUAUAUAUUUUUUUUUUCACCGUCGGAUCAAAAUUGUUGAAGAAAUUUUGGAAAAUUUUUGGUAAAUUUUGCGUUGAAUGGUGGAUUGUUAUUACACGUAUUUCGUGGGAAUUGUCGUCGUAAAAAUGGAGGAGGAGGAAUGGCGGUAGAAUCGUAAAACGUCAAAAUCUGUGUCAACAUCCAUCCCGUGAAAUCGAAAUAAUAAAACAUGAAAUCAAACGAAUUUAAUCUGUCAAACGUUUCAUUAACUUAAAAAGAUAUUGAUUAAAACUUUGGGAAAUAGCAUCGGUUCAAGUUUGAGCGAAACGUAUAAUAGAUUGAAUAGAUGAAAAUUUAAUGGGACGGAAAAUAAAACUUGUUAAUAAUCGAUCACCAAACAUUUUCGAAAUUUCGUUAAAAACGGAAGAUUGAAAUUUUGUUUCCAACAGAGAUAUAUUAAAAAGAUUCUUUCGAAACUUGGUGAAAUUUACAAAAUAGUCGGACGAGAAAUUGUCAAGCAAAUAUUUAUUGCCGCUGUGAUUAAACUUUAAAUCACGUAAAAUAAACGUAGAAGAAAAAAAAAAAAGAAACGUUUUUUCUAUUUACGCAACUUCUUCACUUUUCAAUGAACAGAAUCAACACAAUUUCUACU